rnacentral:lncRNA from 1 species
AACACUUUUUGUAAGAGAGUCCGAGCCAACGAUAGAGAUUACAAUGAGAAGUUCCAGUAUGCUAGCAACUGCAUCAUGACCUCAAAGUACAACAUCAUUACCUUCCUUGCAGUCAACCUGUUUGAGCAGUUCCAGGAAGUUGCCAAUACCUACUUCCUGUUUCUCCUCAUACUGCAGUUGAUUCCACAGAUUUCCUCAUUAUCCUGGUUCACCACCAUUGUGCCUUUAGUGCUGGUGCUGAGCAUCACUGCAGUCAAAGAUGCCACCGAUGACUAUUUUCGUCACAAGAGUGACAACCAGGUGAAUAACCGUCAGUCUCAGGUACUCAUCGGUGGCAUUCUUCAGAAGGAGAAAUGGAUGAAUGUCAGAGUGGGUGACAUCAUCAAACUGGAGAACAAUCAGUUUGUGGCAGCUGACCUGCUCCUGUUGUCCAGCAGUGAACCACAUGGCCUCUGCUACAUUGAAACUGCAGAACUAGAUGGCGAGACGAACAUGAAGGUGCGUCAGUCUCUGUCUGUUACCUCAGAGCUGGGAGAUCCUAAUAACCUGGCCCAGUUUGAUGGAGAAGUGGUGUGUGAGCCUCCCAACAACAAGCUUGACCGUUUCUGUGGGACUCUGUAUUGGAAAGACUGCAAAUACCCCCUCAGCAACCAGAACAUGCUGCUUCGCGGCUGCGUACUGCGCAACACAGAGAGCUGCUAUGGCCUUGUAUUUUCGCAGGUUGGUCCUGACACCAAACUGAUGCAGAACAGCGGACGGACUAAGUUCAAGCGCACCAGUAUAGACAGACUGAUGAAUACACUGGUGCUGAUUUUUGGGUUCCUGGUGUGUAUGGGAGUGAUCUUGGCCAUAGGAAAUGCAGUUUGGGAAAAAGAAGUGGGUGCUCUGUUCCAGAGCUUUCUUCCUUGGGACCCUCCAGUGGACAACUUCCUGUUCUCUGCCUUCCUGUCUUUCUGGUCCUAUGUCAUCAUCCUCAACACAGUCGUACCCAUCUCCCUCUAUAUAAUCUGUUAUCCUCAGAGGGUCCAGGCCCUGGACUUCAGUGCGUGGAACCCCUUAGCAGCCCGGGACUUCUGUUUCUACGACCAGUUUCUGUUAGACGCAGUGAUGGAGGGAGAACCAGCAGUGCAUGAAUUCUCCGGGUCUUAUCUCUCUGCCCACACAGUCAUGACUCUCUGCCACACAGUCAUGAGCGAGGAGAAGAGCGAGGGAGAGCUUCUGUAUAAGGCUCAGUCUCCAGAUGAGGGGGCGUUAGUAACAGCUGCACGCAACUUUGGCUUUGUGUUUCGCUCUCGCACACCUGGCACAGUCACCACACAAGAGCUCGGCAAAGCCGUCACAUACACACUCCUCGCCAUCCUGGACUUCAAUAACAUCCGCAAAAGAAUGUCUGUCAUAGUUAGGAAUCCAGAGGGCCGUAUUCGUCUGUACUGUAAGGGCGCAGACACUGUGCUUUUUGAGAGGCUUCACUCUUGCAACCAUGAACUAAUGAAUGUCACUUCAGACCACCUCAACGAGUAUGCAGGUGAUGGCUUACGGACACUCGCAGUGGCCUAUCGGGAUCUGUCUGAGGAGCAGUGGGAGGAGUGGUCAGAGCAUUUCCGUGGUGCUGAUAAAGCCACAGACUGCAGAGAUGACCGGCUGGCUGCAGCCUAUGAGGAGAUCGAACAGGACAUGAUGUUGUUGGGGGCCACGGCUAUAGAAGAUAAACUGCAAGAGGGGGUUCCUGAGACUAUCGCUAUUCUCUCACUGGCUAACAUUAAGAUCUGGGUGCUUACUGGAGACAAACAGGAGACUGCGGUGAAUAUUGGUUAUUCAUGUAAAAUGCUGACAGAUGACAUGACGGAGAUCUUCAUUGUUAAUGGACACACUGUCCAAAGCGUACGUGAAGAACUGAGGUACAAUGGCUCCGCCCCCUCUUUAUUGGAGUCGAUCAGUGGAGAGUUCGCCCUCAUCAUCAGCGGACACAGCUUGGCUCAUGCUUUGGAAGCAGAUAUGGAGCGUGAGUUUUUGGAGACGGCGUGUGCUUGUCGAGCAGUGAUCUGCUGCAGAGUGACUCCUCUUCAGAAAGCUCUGGUGGUGGAGCUGGUUAAACGGCAUAAGAAAGCUGUCACACUCGCAAUCGGAGAUGGAGCCAAUGACGUCAGCAUGAUAAAGACGGCUCACAUUGGCGUGGGCAUCAGCGGACAGGAGGGGAUCCAGGCUGUGCUGGCAUCAGAUUACUCUUUUUCCCAGUUUCGCUUCCUGCAGCGUCUUUUGCUGGUGCACGGACGCUGGUCCUAUCUGCGCAUGUGCCGUUUUCUCUGUUACUUCUUCUACAAGAACUUUGCCUUCACUAUGGUGCACUUCUGGUUCGGAUUCUUCUGUGGAUUCUCAGCGCAGGUAGGAUUUAUUCUGAUACUUCAUCACUCUUUACACACUCUUUACAAUAUCGUAUACACAUCCCUGCCUGUGUUGGCCAUGGGCAUCUUCGAUCAGGAUGUUCCUGAACAGAGGAGUCUGGAGUAUCCAAAGCUGUAUGAGCCGGGUCAGCUAAACUUGCUGUUUAACAAGCGCGAGUUCUUCAUCUGCAUCGCACAGGGAAUCUACACGUCUGUGGUUCUCUUCUUCAUUCCCUACGGCGUUCUCUCUCACGCCACACAGAGCAAUGGAGUCCCGCUGGCAGACUAUCAAACUUUUGCUGUAACAACAGCAACGGCCCUUGUCAUCGUUGUCAGCGUCCAAAUUGCUCUGGACACAGGUUAUUGGACGGCUAUAAAUCACUUCUUUAUUUGGGGAUCUUUGGGUACCUACUUCACUAUCCUCUUCGCUAUGCACUCCAGCAUUCUGUUCAAUAUCUUCCCCAAACAGUUCCAUUUCCUUGGAAGUGCUCAUAACACACUCGGACAGCCAGUGGUGUGGUUAACUAUUGCUCUUGCUACCGUCAUCUGCAUUGCUCCAGUCCUUGCUUUCCGCUUUCUCAAACUGGACCUUAAACCUCAGCUCUCAGAUACUGUGCGCCACACUCAACUUGUGCUGCAGAAAAAGCGGAAGCCUGGUGGUCGUGCUGGUCGUGGAGUGGGCGGUGCUGGUGUAGCCAGUGGCAGUACUCUUGGCCGCUUGGGACGAGGUGGAUCUCGACGCUCUGGUUAUGCGUUUGCGCAUCAGGAGGGCUUCGGCGAGCUGAUCACAUCGGGAAAAAAUAUGCGCCUGAGCUCGCUUGCUCUCGCCACAUUCGCUUCUCGCCACAGCAGCAGUUGGAUCGAUACCCUUCGCAGAAAAAAACACGCAAACAGCCCUGGAGCACACAAACUAAUUUUGUGGAUUGACAAAAAAAUUAAAUUUCCCCCAAGGAGAAAACGGCAGGAAGCAGAACUAUUAAAAACACUUUCAUUUCUCUCUUUUGUACAUAGUAGUGGUCUCAGCUCAAAACCGUUCUAA